rnacentral:rRNA from 1 species
GGCUCAGGAUGAACGCUAGCUACAGGCUUAACACAUGCAAGUCGAGGGGAAACGACAUCGAAAGCUUGCUUUUGAUGGGCGUCGACCGGCGCACGGGUGAGUAACGCGUAUCCAACCUGCCUGUCACUCAGGAAUAGCCCCGGUGAAAACCGGGAUUAAGUCCUGAUGAUAUCAUUAGAGGGCAUCUGACGAUGAUUAAAGGUUACGGUGACAGAUGGGGAUGCGUCUGAUUAGCUUGUUGGCGGGGUAACGGCCCACCAAGGCAACGAUCAGUAGGGGUUCUGAGAGGAAGGUCCCCCACAUUGGAACUGAGACACGGUCCAAACUCCUACGGGAGGCAGCAGUGAGGAAUAUUGGUCAAUGGGCGAGAGCCUGAACCAGCCAAGUAGCGUGCAGGAUGACGGCCCUAUGGGUUGUAAACUGCUUUUAUAAGGGAACAAAGUGAGUCUCGUGAGACUUUUUGCAUGUACCUUAUGAAUAAGGACCGGCUAAUUCCGUG